GAUGAACGCUGACAGAAUGCUUAACACAUGCAAGUCUUUGGCGAAGCUGUGCUUGCACAGCCUAGCCAAGGCGGACGGGUGAGUAACGCGUAAGGAACUUGCCCUGCAGUCAGGGAUAACAGACGGAAACGACUGAUAAGACCUGGUAAAGUCAGGCGGACUCAUGUCCAGCCUGAUGAAAAGUGAUGCUGCAGGAGAGCCUUGCGUCCUAUUAGCUUGUUGGUGGGGUAACGGCCCACCAAGGCGAUGAUAGGUAGCCGGCCUGAGAGGGUGGACGGCCACAAGGGGACUGAGAUACGGCCCUUACUCCUACGGGAGGCAGCAGUGGGGAAUAUUGGACAAUGGGGGCAACCCUGAUCCAGCAAUUCCGUGUGCACGAUGAAGGUUUUCGGAUUGUAAAGUGCUUUCAGCAGGGAAGAAAAAAAUGACGGUACCUGCAGAAGAAGCGACGGCUAAAUACGUG
rnacentral:rRNA from 1 species